rnacentral:lncRNA from 1 species
GAAAAUAGACAGACGUACAGCUCCACGCAGUAAGAUUGCAUGCAGGAGGCCUAUUCGCAAUAGGCCUAUGGACGAUAGGCUUGUCCACGCGGCAGGCCGAGAUGGCAUGUGCUGCCUUGGGCAGUGCAUGUCGCACCCUUGGGAACCAUGGGCCACCUUCGUGCGGCAUGCGCCGCCAGUUGGGUAGUGAGCCACCAUCAGUUAGGCGAUAUGUCGCCAUCGUUUGUGUGGCGUGCCUUUGGUUCAUGCCUCACUGUCAUGUCGAAUCGUCCAUCCAUUGGUCAUAUCCGUUGGUCGUCACAUCUCAUCAUUUCACAUUGACUUUUUCUCUCUUCGCUAGAUUUUACCACUUGGCAUAAAUCUAACAGUCCCUAUUUUCUUUAAAUGGGGACCCUCACUUCCACUUCAUUCUUCC